rnacentral:rRNA from 1 species
UACAGAGGUCUCAAGCGUUGUUCGGAUUCAUUGGGCGUAAAGGGUGCGCAGGCGGCGAGGCAAGUCGGACGUGAAAUCUCGGGGCUUAACCCCGAAACUGCGUUCGAUACUGCCUUGCUUGAGGACUGGAGAGGAGACUGGAAUUCCUGGUGUAGCAGUGAAAUGCGUAGAUAUCAGGAGGAACGCCAAUGGCGAAGGCAAGUCUCUGGACAGUUCCUGACGCUCAUGCACGAAGGCCAGGGGAGCAAACAGG